rnacentral:rRNA from 1 species
UACGUAGGGUGCGAGCGUUGCCCGGAUUUAUUGGGCGUAAAGGGCGCGUAGGCGGCCACGCACGUCCGUUGUGAAAUCGCCCGGCUCAACUGGGCGGGGUCAGCGGAUACGGCGCGGCUGGAGCAAGCUAGGGGGCAAUGGAAUUCCCGGUGUAGUGGUGGAAUGCGUAGAUAUCGGGAGGAACACCAGUGGCGAAGGCGGUUGCCUGGAGCUUUGCUGACGCUGAUGCGCGAAAGCUAGGGGAGCAAACAGGG